rnacentral:rRNA from 1 species
UACGUAGGGUGCGAGCGUUAAUCGGAAUUACUGGGCGUAAAGCGUGCGCAGGCGGUUUUCCAAGUCCGAUGUGAAAGCCCCGGGCUUAACCUGGGAAUGGCAUGGGAAACUGGCGGGCUGGAGUGUGGCAGAGGGGGGUGGAAUUCCGCGUGUAGCAGUGAAAUGCGUAGAGAUGCGGAGGAACACCGAUGGCGAAGGCAGCCCCCUGGGCCAACACUGACGCUCAGGCACGAAAGCGUGGGGAGCAAACAGG